UGGUCAUGAUUAUGCAAGUGAGACACAACUGUACACAAGAAGACAUGAAAAGAAGUCUGCUAGGAAUCCUUGCAGACUAAAUGGAGAUACAUGAGAGAGACUCUCUUUCUGUCUCUGGACAUCGUCAUCUGCAUGGAGUACAUAGAACUGGAGCAGUCUUCUUAGAACCAUGAGAGUAAGCUUUUGUGUUUUAGAUAAAGUGGCAGAUCUGAUUUGUUGAUAGCAAUUCCCUGGAGUUGCAUUGAGAAGAUUCUGAGGCCAUGGUCUACUAUCUGUGACUGCCAUGGAAUCCUGAGUGGCCUGGUGACUUCUAAUGAGUUCCAGCUCACAUCCUGGAUGAAUUAUCGUUGGAGGAGUGUGUGCACUCAGUGAAAAUAAACUAGCAGAGACUCGUGUUUACUCUUUAA